rnacentral:snRNA from 1 species
AAACCUUUUCGAAAGAAAAUCUGUUCUUAUCAGUUUAUCUGAUACAUCCCCCAUCCGGGGACUACAUAUUAAAUGGAUUUUUAGAUCACGGAGCUGGAGUCGGGGCUUGCUCUGUCCACUCCACGCAUUGGCCUGGUAUUGCAGUGUCUCCAGGAACGGUGUGUGCUUU